AGCUACAGUAUAUGACUAUGUUCCCACUUGGCGUCUUUUGUUAAGCUGCCAGCGUCUGUUUCACAUUAUAAUCCAAUGGAGUAAAA